GACGUAGGGUGCGAGCGUUUGUCCGGAUUUAUUAGGGCGUAAAGAGCUCGUAGGCGGCUCGUCGCGUCAGCUGACUGAAAACCCGCAGCUUAACUGUGGGCUUGCAGCUGAUACGGGCGGGCUAGAGUUCGGUAGGGGAGACUGGAAUUCCUGGUGUAGCGGUGAAAUGCGCAGAUAUCAGGAGGAACACCGGUGGCGAAGGCGGGUCUCUGGGCCGAUACUGACGCUGGAGGAGCGAAAGCGUGGGGAGCGAACAGG
rnacentral:rRNA from 1 species